rnacentral:rRNA from 1 species
UGGGGAAUUUUGGACAAUGGGCGAAAGCCUGAUCCAGCAAUGCCGCGUGUGUGAAGAAGGCCUUCGGGUUGUAAAGCACUUUUGUCCGGAAAGAAAUCCUUGGCUCUAAUACAGUCGGGGGAUGACGGUACCGGAAGAAUAAGCACCGGCUAACUACGUGCCAGCAGCCGCGGUAAUACGUAGGGUGCAAGCGUUAAUCGGAAUUACUGGGCGUAAAGCGUGCGCAGGCGGUUUGCUAAGACCGAUGUGAAAUCCCCGGGCUCAACCUGGGAACUGCAUUGGUGACUGGCAGGCUAGAGUAUGGCAGAGGGGGGUAGAAUUCCACGUGUAGCAGUGAAAUGCGUAGAGAUGUGGAGGAAUACCGAUGGCGAAAGGCAGCCCCCUGGGCCAAUACUGACGCUCAUGCACGAAAGGCGUGGGGAGCAAACAGGAUUAGAUACCCUGGUAGUCCACGCCCUAAACGAUGUCAACUAGUUGUUGGGGAUUCAUUUCCUUAGUAACGUAGCUAACGCGUGAAGUUGACCGCCUGGGGAGUACGGUCGCAAGAUUAAAACUCAAAGG